CAGUUCGAUUCUCACCGGCCCAAAGUUGACUCAACUUUCCAUCCUUCUGAGGUCGAUAAAAUUAGGACCCAGAAUGUUGGGGACAAUCUGGUGACUCCAUAAACUGCAAAGAGAGAGUGCAAAGGACUG